AUUGAACGCUGGCGGCAGGCCUAACACAUGCAAGUCGAACGAGUGGCGGACGGGUGUGUAAUGUCUGGGAAACUGCCUGAUGGAGGGGGCUAACUACUGUAAACGGUAGCUAAUACCGCAUACCAUCGGAUGUGCCCAGAUGGGAUUAGCUUGUUGGUGGGGUACCGGCUCACCAAGGCGACGAUCCCUAGCUGGUCUGAGAGGAUGACCAGCCACACUGGAACUGAGACACGGUCCAGACUCCGACGGGAGGCAGAAGUGGGGAAUAUUGCACAAGGGGCGCAAGCCUGAUGCAGCCAGGCCGCGUGUAUGAAGAAGGCCUUCGGGUUGUAAAGUACUUUCAGCGGGGAGGCGUUACCCAAAGAAGAAGCACCGGCUAACUCCGUGCCAGCCGCCGCGGUAAUAC
rnacentral:rRNA from 1 species